rnacentral:rRNA from 1 species
CCUACGGGUGGCAGCAGUAGGGAAUCUUCCACAAUGGACGAAAGUCUGAUGGAGCAACGCCGCGUGAGUGAAGAAGGGUUUCGGCUUGUAAAGCUCUGUUGGUAGUGAAGAAAGGUAGAGGACGUAACUCGCCUUUAUUUGACGGUAAUUACUUAGAAAGUCACGGCUAACUACGUGCCAGCAGCUGCGGGAAUACGUAGGUGGCAAGCGUUGUCCGGAUUUAUUGGGCGUAAAGCGAGUGCAGGCGGUUCAAUAAGUCUGAAGUGAAAGCCUUCGGCUCAACCGGAGAAUUGCAUCAGAUACGGUUGACCUUGAGUGCAGAAGAGGUAGGUGGAAUUCGAUGUGUAGCGGUGGAAUGCGUAGAUAUAAGGAAGAACACC